rnacentral:piRNA from 2 species
GGAGAACACAAGCACAGUGCCAGCUGCAGC